rnacentral:rRNA from 1 species
UACGUAGGCAGCAAGCGUUGUUCGGAGUUACUGGGCGUAAAGCGUGCGCAGGCGGCUUCUCAAGUCAGGGGUGAAAGCCCAGAGCUCAACUCUGGAAUUGCCUUUGAGACUGAGUGGCUUGAGUACGAGAGAGGUGAGUGGAAUUCCCAGUGUAGAGGUGAAAUUCGAUAGAUAUUGGGAAGAACACCGGUGGCGAAGGCGGCUCACUGGCUCGUAACUGACGCUCAUGCACGACAGCGUGGGGAUCAAACAGG